rnacentral:sRNA from 1 species
AUAAGUGGAAGUUGUGAAACUUCCUUAUUAGAAUAGUUUAGUUAAGUCUAGUUUAGUUUUUGUGUUGUGAUACUCCUGGCAAUAGAGAUUGCCGGGAGUAUCUUUUUU